GCUGAAUUAGCACAAUUGGUAGUGCAUCUAACUUGUAAUUAGAGGGUUGAGGGUUCGAGUCCCUUGUUCAGCUCCA
rnacentral:tRNA from 1 species